CCGUGAUGAACUAACCGUCUGUCGCUGGGAAUAAGCUUAACUUGGGGGAAACUGCCACGAAAAUAAAACUUUAAUAUAAGUUUGCCUUUCUUUAAUUUUGUUAUUUUACAAAUUUAAAUUAUUAAUUUAAUUUUUUCCUACUCCCUUAUCCAAAACAUCACGACCAUACGUAGGUACUUGUUAUUUAUAUAUUUUAUUAACUAUAAAAAAUAAUAAUUUUUCCAUUUAAGAAACAUUCCACCAUCAAGAUAUCUUACUAUUUGGUUAAUUCCAUUUAACUCAAACAUUUCUAAAAGUCCAUGCAAGGUAGAUUGUACUGGAA
rnacentral:rRNA from 2 species